GGACGUGAUGGUAAGGAGGAAGGGAGGGAACCAUGUGAUUACAUCAUCAACUGCCCCCAUCCCUUCCAGAAAGCACAUAACUUUCCAAUGAUAUCUCUAAUUCCACAAAUGAAAACAUAAACGAGUUAAUCAUUGCAUUCGCCAAAGCCUCCUUUUUUCGAUGAGUGUUUAUCUGUAAUCAAUUCCCAUGAAGAGAAGAGACAUGCAUAACGGUUGAGUGUCAAGGAAAGGCCAAGAGCAAGACCAAGUGCCAGAGCACAGAACAGCAAACCUGGGUAGGAGCAUCCAGACUUUUUGCCUACAAAGUUCAAAACUCACCUUUCAUUAUGGGCUCCAAAGAUCACACACUACAGGACAGAUACAGAAGGCUUGAUGAAGGAGGGAUUAUUUCCAUGCAAGGUUGGCCAAGACUUUUUACUGCCCCUAACAGCUGCAUCACAUAAUCUGAGAGGGGCACCCAGGAUCUUUUGCAGUAUUACAAAGCAUGUUGCAGUGCAACUGUCAAAUCACCCUGCUUCACCGGCUCCCUAAAAUCAUUGCUGCUUCAUGGAACUGCUUUUGUUGUUUGUUCGUUUGUUUGUU